rnacentral:misc_RNA from 1 species
GUUCUAGGUUAGUGUUGACUUAGUGGCAUCAUUCGUUCACACUCCAACGCGAGUUGCAGCGACGAAGUAUUCUGCUUCUGGAAUACCUCUUUCCAAGGACCACACGCGUAAAUAGUCUGCUGUGAAAACAGAUUACUGGGGUGACUGCGUCCGUUUGUUCGUAAUUAUACUGAAUUGCAACAUGAAGCGAUCCCGUCAAAUUGGCCUUUUAACACGGGUGGCCGUGGUGGUGCUCCUGGCCACUUCAGCAGAUACCAUGCGACGCAAGUAUGAAGCUCGCAAGCACUGGUGGGACCUCGCGCAGAACGAGCUGGCGGCCGCCCUCAAUGUUCGAGACAACUGGAACGUGGCGAAGAACGUGAUCAUUUUCCUGGGCGACGGCAUGGGCAUCACCGCCAACACCGCCGCCAGGAUCUUCAAGGGCCAGAAAAAGGGCAUGAACGGCGAGGAGGGCUAUCUCACUUGGGAGAGAUUCCCUAACGCGGCGCUGCUCAAGACCUACAACGUGGACAAACAGGUUCCGGACAGUGCAGGCACGGCCACGGCCUACCUGUGUGGAGUCAAGGCCAAUUAUUACACACUCGGUGUCGACCCGGAGGUGACCCUCGGAGACUGUGCGGCGGCGAGGAACCCUAUCUAUCACACACCGUCCAUCCUGCAGUGGGCGCAGGAAGCCGGCAAGGACACAGGUUUUGUGACCACGACCCGCGUCACGCACGCCACGCCCGCGGCCCUGUACGCCCACUCCGCCCACCGAAACUGGGAGUGCGACGGCAAUCUAGGUCAGAUGGGCAUCGGCUGCAAGGACAUCGCGGAUCAGCUGGUGUCAGAAAACCCUGGCAGGAAUAUCAAGGUGAUCCUAGGAGGCGGCCGCCAGUCCUUCGGUGCGAGCACGGGGCCCGUGAAUAAGGACACAUGCACUCGCCGUGACGGCCGUGACCUUACCCGGGAGUGGCUCAGUGACAAAGUGCAACGAGGCCAUAGCGCUGCUUAUGUCACCAGUGCCGGGGAACUGGCCAACGUCGACGUGGACGAUACUGACUUCCUCCUGGGUCUGUUUUCCGACACUCACGUCCCGUUCGAGGUUGACCGCGUGAACGGCCCCACAGGCUCCCCCUCGCUCGCCCAGAUGGCUACCAAGGCCAUCAAGUUCCUCCAGAAGAGCGACAACGGAUUCUUCCUCCUGGUUGAGGGCGGCCGCAUCGACCACGCCCUGCACGACAACCUGCCCCACCGCGCCCUCGAGGAAGCAGUCGCCCUUGAUAGUGCAGUCGCUGCCGCUCUCGAGGAAGUGGAUCUGGAGGACACGUUGGUGGUGGUGACGGCCGACCACUCUCACGUCAUGACGAUUAACGGGUACCCCGAGCGUGGAAAUGAUAUUCUUGGUCUAACCGGUGACAUCUCCAAGAUUGAUAAUAUGCCCUACACGACGCUCAUGUUCACCAAUGGACCCGGUUUCAACUACACCACAGACGGGAGCAGGGUAAUCCGUCAUGAUCCCCGCACUGUGGACACGCGACAUGUAAACUACCGCAGUCAGGCCGCCGUGCCACUCCCGCCCAUUUCCGAGACGCACGGAGGAGAGGACGUCGGAGUCUGGGCCGCAGGACCUAUGGCUCACCUCUUCCACCGCACUCACGAGCAACACUACGUUGCCCACGUCAUGGCCUACGCCGCCUGCGUCGGCCCCAGCGCCGGCAAAAGGUGCGAGAGGCCAUCCCACGCCUCCUUCACUAGACCGCCGGUGCCUCAGGCCGUCGCCACCGCUACUGCAACAGCCACGUCGUCUAUAGGUGUCGCGGUUGCUUCGGCGGUGGCUUCCGGACAAGCGCCGUCCGUGCCCUUCGUAGGACCGAAAUUCCCCACGUUAUCGCCGGUUCUACAACAGCUCAUUGAUGAUAACGAGCGCAAGAUCGUGACGACCUUAGGCUCAGAGUCUGUGUCCAGCUUCACCUCAGCCGAAGACGUCCGGAGGCUCCUGGGGCAGAGUGUGCUUCAGCCCCACAGCAUGUAGUCAGGCAGCUCAGGGGCGCCGCCGCCACACCAUUACCUGUGUAAGGUGGACGCGUACACGUAUUCUUGCAUUGGAUUAUCGGUUUAUUAGGGCGAGACGUGCAGGGACGAACGCACAAGCCCGGAGUCAGUACGAAGGCAGGAUUCCGGCCCCAAGAUAUCAUCGGCCUCGACGCCCUCACCAGCAUCCCGCACAGUCUGUAGACAUCGCCU